UACGAAGGGGGCUAGCGUUGCUCGGAAUCACUGGGCGUAAAGCGCACGUAGGCGGAUUGCUAAGUCAGGGGGUGAAAUCCUGGAGCUCAACUCCAGAACUGCCUUUGAUACUGGCGAUCUCGAGUCCGGGAGAGGUGAGUGGAACUGCGAGUGUAGAGGUGAAAAUUCGUAGAUAUUUGGGGAAGAACACCGGUGGGCGA
rnacentral:rRNA from 1 species